UAGUUGCCUAACUUGUCACUCUAAUUCAAUUUUCUACUGAAGUAUAGAAAAAGCAAGCUAGUACAAUAGGUAGAUGAAGGAGGAUAGGUAAUAACAAUAGGUAAAAGAAGAACAAUUAUAAUGACAUCUAGAGCCAAAAGAAAGAGUCAUUGUGCAAAUAUAAGGGAGAACAAUAAAAAUUAGAGAUAGAAAUAAUGGAAGAGGGCCACAUUAUUGGGGCAAGCAUAAAUAAAGAAAGUAAGAGGGC
rnacentral:lncRNA from 1 species